GGGCGCUGGCUCGAGCGCAGCUUCAAGGAAAAAAGCCAGACCUGAGAGGUAAAAAGGCCUCCCUGGUGGCAGGCAGAAGACUUGGAAAGCAGAAUCCCAAUCAAGGUUUCUCACCUGGGCAAUCCCCUAGCCCAAAGAAAAUCUGUUGUUUAGAGAUGAGCUGUAGAGUCAAGACUCUCUUUGUGCAGCUACUUUGAAAUACACAGGCAUCUUCUUCACUUCUGUGGGUUCUGUGAGCUCCAGCUAGACGGUACAGGCAGGACUCCAGAGAUGCUGUGGCUUCUGCUGCAGGUGUUCAACAGCAGGAAGAUAAGAGGGGGUUUAAGAAGUGCUACUCACAGAUUGCACCAAACAAGCUAAGGCUGGUGUAAUUACAGAGGAUCACCCUCACCAAUUGGAUAAUUUUUGUGCACUGAGUGGUGGAAGUGUGCAAGUUCGUUGCAUGCAUGGUGCUCACAUCUCAUCUGUGGAUGAGCUGUGGGCAAUGAGAAUUGUUCCCUCCUAGUAAAGGCUGAACUGGUGCUGUUUUUGGGAGUAGAGGGGCACUAUGUUCUGUGUGUCUUCCAUUCCAGACACUAUAAUACAGUGGUGGAUUUAGUGAAUCUGACCCUUGAAAGCCUGGGGGCAGUUGCAUGUCCAGAGACUUUUGUUUGGCCAGAAGGUGCUUGGGAUUAAAAUUGUUCUAGGAUUUGGAAUGUGAUCCUUCUCUGCAAUCUGAAAUAUAGAAGCACAAGUGAAAGAAGACCUGUUCAACCAUGCCAUGUUUUCUUUUUUACUGCCAAGAACUAGAUGUGC